UGAGAGGAAAGCGCAGCACCCUGGCUCCUGGCUGGCCGGGCCCCUUCGGUCACAGCCUCUCAGCCACGCUGGGAUGCGGCUCCGAGUCCGCUGGCCCUCGGACCGCCGGCGCCUCGUCUCUCCCGACGCGUUUCCCGCCCUUCCGAGGGCUCGCGCCAUGCUCCAGGGCCUGAGGGACCCGAGCUUGAGCCGCCCCAAACGCCACACGAACGCCAAAGGAGCAAUCUGGACGGCGAGGACAGCCUGCUCCCGGGCUUCCAGAGGUAGCGCCCGACUGCCUAGGCUGGUCUUGAACUCCUGACCUGAAGAGAUCCUACUGCCUUGGCCUCCCAAAGUGCUAGGACUAUAGUCAUAAACUACCACACCUGACCACAACUUGUAUUUGGAUAAGAAUUGCAUUUAACCUGAAGAACAAUUUGGUCCCACAGCUUUGGGAAACAAGACAUCUUUUUCUCUCAGCCCAGCCCUCUGCAGUGAAGGCAAUGUUCCAAUCAGCUGGCUGGCGGGCAGAUGAAAUCCUCACGAAAGCCUCAGGACGGGAGGAACUCUGUGCUGGGUUGUCGAAUUAGGACAGGAGAUGAUGGUGUAAACCAUUGCGGCAUCUGGAGGAGUGGCACAUGUCCAUGGAUAAGACCCAAGCCCUACUAUACAACAUAGGAGAGCCUCAGAAAUAGACUCUGUAGGCUAGGCACAGCAGCACAUGCUUGUAAUCCCAGCACUUUGGAAGGCUGAAGCAGGAGGAUCCCUUGAGGCCAAGAGUUCGAGAAUAGCCUGGACAACAAGGGUGGGCACCAGAAUUUGCCUUCAGUGGAGUAAAUGAACAAGCUGGUUACCUCUGUGGGAAAUCACCAAGGAGAAAAAUCCCUUCCUACAACCUCAAAAUUUUAGCAGAAUGCCUCCCAGCAUGAAUCUAAAAAGUCUGCAAACUAAGAAAUAAAAUGGAAAAGGUCUCUAAAAUUUGAUUUCAUGACCCACUAGUGGAUCACAACUUGUUUGAAAGCCACCACUUGAAAAACAUCUAGGAGCAGAUCUUACAUACAUGAGUAGUUCGAUAAGCUUUUGAAAACUGUGUUAGACAAGAGUGGAAAAGUAAGUAUCCAAUGUACUCAAUACUAAUAUGAAACCAGCAGACUAACAAAUACACACCCACGCAGGAGAAAAACACAAACUCAAGUGGGAGAAGGGUAGGGGAUUGGUAUGCUCUUACCUAACAGGCACAAUGUAAGGGUAUAUGGCACAGCUUCUGGGGAAGGGGAACAACUGUAACUUGGACUUUACCUAACAAAUGCAAACGAUGUAACUGAAUCAUUUGUACUCUCACAUUAAUCUGCAAUUUGAAAAAAAUUGUAUUAGAUGUUCACUUAUGUUUACGUAGCCAGAAAAGUGAAUACAAAUAUAUCAAUUGCUGGAUUCUCCUUAUUUCCAUCUCAGAAUUCCAUCUGAGAUGAUCAUUCCAUCAUUCCAUCUCAAAUGAUUCAAUAUUAGAUACAUUGUAAUGUUCCAAUGUAUUUAAACAUUGGGUACAUAAGGUUUUUGUUUGGCAUUAUAUUUCCAUUUCUUGUCUGCCUCCCUUAUCCCCAAAUGGGGAUUUGUCAUUUUUCAACUCCUAGUAUUUCUUAACAUUGUAAGUAUAUUCCAGCAAUUCUCAUAAUAGUGGAAAUGAAAACUUUUUUUUUUAAAGCAAUGAACCCCUAUCAUACCCACAGUGUCAACUGGUAGUCUAAAAAAUUUUCCUCCAAAAAAGUCUAACUCCCUAGUUGAUUCUGAGUAUUCAAGCCCACAAUUACAUACAACUUAAAAGCCUAGGAUAGAAGGCGCAGGCCUUUUUACCCCGCAUGUGAGGUAGCAGACCAAUACCAAAGUCAGAAAGGUGAGAAAUGGUCCUCCCACAUUUUCAAAUAUGGGAAAAGGAAUUAUUCUUUUCUAUAUAAAAAGAUUUCAAAAGUCCUCUAGAUGCACACUUCCUGGGCUUUACUGAAACCCAUAAGAUAGGAAAGUACACAGCUGCAUAGCAGUGAAAAGACCCAGAGUCAUAAGCUAUUUGUGGGUAAACAAGGUUUGUUCAGUGUUUCUCACAAGAGAGGUCACAGAAGUAGGCUUGAUACUACCAACUAGAGCUGCAUUGACCAACCUAACAGGACUUUAGUACACAGCCAUCACCAAGAAGGCAGCAGCAAUGAGGAGCAGGAAGUUGAAGACAUGGAAGAAAAGCUUUUAGCGUUAAGUCUACUCCAUUCCUAGAGUGUAAGGUGCUAAGAGCAGGGUCAAGGGUUUUGCAUAGGCUUUUGCAGGUUUCACAGGUGAGUUCCAACAGCAAUGCUGGUCCUUCUUCCAAAGGUGACUGAGACAUAGUGCUGUGGCCAGUAUGGCCAGCUUAGCUAUGACAGGUUCAACAGCUAGAAACUAAGAUUUAUAUGAAUACCAAGGCAAUAAUGUAGUUGCCCUAUUUCUCUCUUCUCUGAUGCAUUCUACUUAAUAGGCUAGAUAGAGAAGAAUUUUAACUGCAGAAAGGAUUUCUAUCCCUCACAAGUCUAUCCUUGUGAUCUCAUGUACUGGGGAAGAUUAUAAAAAGACUUUGAAAUAUCAAGUGUUGUCUCGCCCUAAAGAUGACUUGUAAAAAUGUGGAUGUCUGGCAUACUCACUCAUAUUUGGUGAGUAAUGAAUGCCACAGCCACCACCAACAUCCAACAAUUUGG